CGCAAUGGGCGAAAGUCUGACGGAGCGACGCCGCGUGAUUGAUGAAGUCCCUUUGGGACGUAAAGAUCUUUUAUGAGGGAAGAAGUUUAUUGACGGUACCUCAUGAAUAAGUAGCUUCUAAUCUCGUGCCAGCAGAAGCGGUAAUACGAGAGCUACGAGCGUUAUCCGGAAUUAUUGGGCGUAAAGGGUGCGUAGGUUGUCCUGUUAGUCUUUCGUCAAAUUCCUCGGCUCAACCGGGGACAUGCGGAGGAAACGGCAGGACUAGAAAGUGCGAGAGGCGUACGGAACUCAUGGUGUAGGGGUGAAAUCCGUUGAUAUCAUGGGGAACACCGAAAGCGAAAGCAGUACGCUGGCGCAUGUUUGACACUGAAGCACGAAAGCGU
rnacentral:rRNA from 1 species